AUUGAACGCUGACGGCAUGCUUUACACAUGCAAGUCGAACGGCAGCGCGGGCUUCGGCCUGGCGGCGAGUGGCGAACGGGUGAGUAAUGCAUCGGAACGUGCCCAGUAGUGGGGGAUAGCCCGGCGAAAGCCGGAUUAAUACCGCAUACGACCUGAGGGUGAAAGCGGGGGACCGAAAGGCCUCGCGCUAUUGGAGCGGCCGAUGUCGGAUUAGCUAGUUGGUGGGGUAAAGGCUUACCAAGGCGACGAUCCGUAGCUGGUCUGAGAGGACGACCAGCCACACUGGGACUGAGACACGGCCCAGACUCCUACGGGAGGCAGCAGUGGGGAAUUUUGGACAAUGGGGGCAACCCUGAUCCAGCCAUGCCGCGUGCGGGAAGAAGGCCUUCGGGUUGUAAACCGCUUUUGUUCGGGAAGAAAUCCUCUGGGCUAAUACCCCGGGGGGAUGACGGUACCGGAAGAAUAAGCACCGGCUAACUACGUG
rnacentral:rRNA from 1 species